rnacentral:rRNA from 1 species
AUGGCGAGCACGGUGGUGAGCAUGGCGAGAUCCAUGCUGGGCGCUGUCAUCAGCGUGGCCGCCUCCGCCGCGGCCACCGAGAUGAGCCUUCUCAUGGGCGUCCGCAAGGACAUCUGGUUUAUGAAAGACGAGCUAGAGACGAUGCAUGCGUUUCUGGUGACCGCCGAAGCAACCAAGGAAAAUAACAGGCUACUGCAGGUGUGGGCUAAGCAAGUGAGGGACCUAGCCUAUGGUAUUGAGGAUUGCCUUGAUGAAUUUAUGGUGCAUGUGGGAAGCCACAGCCGGUCUCGACGGCUGCUCAAGCUGAAAGACCGCCAUCGGAUUGCCAGCCAAAUCCGUGAUCUCAAAGCAAGAGUUGAAGAAGUGAGCAACAGGAACACACGCUAUAACUUGAUCACCGCUGAUGCCUCCAGCAGCAUUGAUGAGGUGAAUUCCUACACGGAAGAUAUUCGCACCCACUCAGCUAGCAACAUUGAUGAGGCAGAGCUUGUGGGCUUUGCUAAGGCUAAACAAGAGUUGAUUGCGAUGGUGGAUGUCAACUCCAGUGAUGGUCUUUGCAAGGUGAUAUGUGUCGUUGGCAUGGGCGGUUUAGGCAAGACUACUCUUGCAAGGAAGGCUUAUGAAAGUAAGGAAGACAUUGCGAAUAAAUUUUCUUGUUGUGCUUGGGUCACGGUAUCACAGUCCUUUUCCAAGAUAGAGAUGCUCAAGGACAUGAUUAGGCAACUUUUGGGUAACAAGUCACUUUUGAAAUGCUUGAAAGAUCUUGAAGGGAAGGAAGUGCGAAUAGAAAAUCUUUCUGAGUAUCUCAAAAAGGAGUUAGUGGAUAAGAGGUACUUUGUUGUUCUUGAUGACUUGUGGACCAUAGAUGCAUGCAAGUGGAUCCAAGAUAUUGCUUUUCCUAGUAGAAACAACAAAGGCAGCCGAAUAAUAGUAACAACGCGAGAUGCUGGCUUGGCUGAGCAAUGCACUUCUGAUUCUCUUAUCUACCACCUUAAGCACUUGCAAAUCGAGGAUGCCACACAUUUGCUACUAAGAAAGAGUAGGAAAACACAUGAAGACAUGAAAAAUGAUAAGGAAAUGAUGACUGUGGUCAAGAGAAUAGUAAAGAAGUGUGGGGGUCUACCGUUGGCUGUACUCACUAUAGGAGCCAUGCUUUCCACCAAAAAGGUUACAGAGUGGGAAAGUAUAUAUAAUCAAAUCCCCUCAGAGCUCGAGGUCAACCCUAGCCUUGAAGCAAUGAGAAGGAUAGUUACUCUAAGCUACAAUCACUUACCAUGCAGAGAGAGCCUUGGCUCAAUGGUUGGGUCUGUGGUUGUGCAACCCAACGACCCGAGUUCAAUUCCUGGAAUUGACAGGUGA